rnacentral:lncRNA from 10 species
GGAAGAACAAAGCCUGAAAACCUGCUCAGUCAGCCAGAGAUUCCUGUUCUCUUUGGCUGUUGUUGCUUUUACUCACAUAUGAUAUUUCCGGUGAAUCUCAGGGUGUCCUACUAUUUUUCUGCUAGUCUACUGCUAGGAGAGUAGGUCCCCAUUGAACACUGGUCAAUGAGAGUAUCACAUCUUCUUGGACAGUGAUUGGUUCAAAGAUGGACAUAUGGUCCAAGAUGGGCUAAUCAGAGCUAACGAGGCUUUUUCUGGGGCUUUGAUGGAAAUAGAAUGAAAUCUUUGUGUUUCCAUGGUGGCUGCCAAGCUGGUAGACUACAGGCCUGUUGACUCCAGUGACCCUCUUGGAGAAAGCCUGUCAGAGAAUAAAGCCAACAGACAGGAAAGCAAAUUGAGGUCACGGAGAGGGAGCAAGAGAGUGAGCCUUCGUCCUGAUGAUAUUCUUUGAACCCCCUGAUGCAGCCAUGCCUGAGGUCAGACUAACCCUGACCUUUUAUGUUAUAGGAACCAAUAAUUUCCUUUUAUUUUUAUUGUUCUUUUUUUCUGUUUCCC